rnacentral:rRNA from 1 species
UCCUACGGGAGGCAGCAGUGGGGAAUAUUGCACAAUGGGCGCAAGCCUGAUGCAGCCAUGCCGCGUGUGUGAAGAAGGCCUUCGGGUUGUAAAGCACUUUCAGUCGUGAGGAAGGUAGUGUAGUUAAUAGCUGCAUUAUUUGACGUUAGCGACAGAAGAAGCACCGGCUAACUCCGUGCCAGCAGCCGCGGUAAUACGGAGGGUGCGAGCGUUAAUCGGAAUUACUGGGCGUAAAGCGCAUGCAGGUGGUUUGUUAAGUCAGAUGUGAAAGCCCGGGGCUCAACCUCGGAAUAGCAUUUGAAACUGGCAGACUAGAGUACUGUAGAGGGGGUAGAAUUUCAGGUGUAGCGGUGAAAUGCGUAGAGAUCUGAAGGAAUACCGGUGGCGAAGGCGGCCCCCUGGACAGAUACUGACACUCAGAUGCGAAAGCGUGGGGAGCAAACAGGAUUAGAUACCCUGGUAG